CCAAUAGCGUAUAUUAAAGUUGUUGCAGUUAAAAAGCUCGUAGUUGAAUUUCGGGAUCAAUAUGUUGGUCGUGCCAUUGGUACGUACUGGCAUUAUUGGUUUCUACCUUCUGAAGAACCUCGAUGUCAUUAAUUUGGUGUCUUGGGGAAUCAGGACUGUUACUUUGAAAAAAUUAGAGUGUUUAAAGCAAGCUCGCGCUUGAAUACAUUAGCAUGGAAUAAUGAAAUAGGACGUUUGAUUCUAUUUUGUUGGUUUCUAGGAUCGACGUAAUGAUUAAUAGGGAUAGUUGGGGGCAUUAGUAUUCAAUUGUCAGAGGUGAAAUUCUUGGAUUUAUUGAAGACUAACUACUGCGAAAGCAUUUGCCAAGGAUGUUUUCAUUAAUCAAGAACGAAAGUUAGGGGAUCGAAGACGAUCAGAUACCGUCGUAGUCUUAACCAUAAACUAUGCCGACUAGGGAUCGGAUGAUGUUAAUUUUUUAAUGACUCAUUCGGCGCCUUAC
rnacentral:rRNA from 1 species